rnacentral:rRNA from 1 species
UUCUGGCUCAGGAUGAACGCUAGCUACAGGCUUAACACAUGCAAGUCGAGGGGCAGCAUGGUCUUAGCUUGCUAAGACUGAUGGCGACCGGCGCACGGGUGAGUAACGCGUAUCCCAACCUUCCCCCUGGUAGGGCAUAGCCCGGCGAAAGUCGGAUUAAUACCCUAUGUUAUCCGAAGAGGACAUCUGAUUUGGAUCAAAGAUUUAUCGCCAUGGGAUGGGGAUGCGUCCGAUUAGGUUGACGGCGGGGUGACGGCCCACCGUGCCCGCGAUCGGUAGGGGUUCUGAGAGGAAGGUCCCCCACAUUGGAACUGAGACACGGUCCAAACUCCUACGGGAGGCAGCAGUGAGGAAUAUUGGUCAAUGGGCGUAAGCCUGAACCAGCCAAGUAAGCGUGCGGGACGACGGCCCUAUGGGUUGUAAACCGCUUUUGCAGGGGAAUAAAGUGUGGGACGUGUCCCAUUUUGCAUGUACCCUGAGAAUAAGGACCGGCUAAUUCCGUGCCAGCCGCAGC